UACGAAGGGAGCUAGCGUUGUUCGGAAUUACUGGGCGUAAAGGGCGCGUAGGCGGGUUUCCAAGUCGGGGGUGAAAGUCGGGGGCUCAACCCUCGAAAGCCGGUGGAAACUGUCGGGCUAGAGUGCGGAAGAGGCGAGUGGAAUUCCUGGUGUAGCGGUGAAAUGCGCAGAUAUCAGGAGGAACACCGGUGGCGAAGGCGGGUCUCUGGGCCGAUAUCGACGCUGAGGAGCGAAAGCGUGGGGAGCGAACAGG
rnacentral:rRNA from 1 species